rnacentral:lncRNA from 1 species
CAAUAAGAGCGAGGCUGUCGGCCCCGCCUCGCUUUGAGACGGCCCGGAGCCAAUCAGAGAGCAGAGCGUUGUGUGGCGGAAGUCGGGCCUCGGCGGGUGCGCGGCGCCAUGGCCGGCGGUUCCGUUGGGGUGCUGGCGCGAGCGUUGGAGGCGCUGGAUGUUGGUGGUGCAGCUGAUAAGAUUAAUUCAAUACCUCAAGACUUUUUUGCAGAACUGUGUGAACAAAUAAUUCAACAUCUGAACCAUAAGAUCCCAGGUGUAAACACAGCUGAACUGUGUCAGGUAAGUUUGGAUUCUAUCACUUAUAAGUAAGUAUAUUAGCUGUAUAUGUUGUACAGGAUAGAUUUCUCAAGUCAUUUUUUUGGUGUGUGUAUAUGUAUACACAAAGAGGUUUUUAUUAAUGUAUAACUUAUUAUCAUUUGUAAUUGUUUGAAUAUUCUGUUUCUAGAGAAUUCAAACAGCUGGGAUUGAAAUUAAUGUUGGUGACCUGGCAAGAAUAGCUAACAUUAUUUCCUUUCUGUUUAGGUAAGCACAAAAUAAUAUAUUUUGCCUCAUGUCUUUUUUUUUUUUUUCUCUUCACCCCAAAUUAAUAGGGUUGUCAAAAAGUGACAUCAAAUGUGGGUAUAAAACUGAUUUGGGUAAAGAGCAAAAGUUUUUAACUCCCAGUAUGCAAAAAAUAACUGGGCUUAGUUUAUGUUCUUAAAAAAAUGUGUAGUUACUUAUACAUAGUGUUGUUUUUUUUAAUAAAAAUAGAAAACUAAAGAGAGGAAAUUGUUGU